GCUUUCUUAGCUCAGUGGUUUAGAGCUUUGUACUUAUGAGGCUGACUUCUCGGCUGAGCAUUAUAUGCAAGGGUCACCAGUUCGAUCCUGGUAGAAAGCA